GUGUGGUAGCCUAAGGUUACCCACCUUGAAGUGUGGUAGCCUAAGGUAACCCAACUUGAAGUGUGGUAGCCUAAGGUAACACACCUUGAAGUGUUGUUGCCUAAGGUAACCCACCUUGAAGUGUUGUAGCCUAAGGUAAGCCACCUUGAAGUGUGGUUGCCUAUGGUACCCACAUUGAAGUAUUUGUUGCCUAUGGUAACCCACAUUGAAUUGUAUUUGUCUAUUGUAUCCACAUUGAAGUGUGGUUACCUACGGUACCCCCACAUUGAUGUGUGGUCGUCACCCAUGUUCAUCUGUAGUUUCCAAUUCUUGUAAAGAUUCUGAAUGUCACAAUGUCAUAGUGGAUGAGCAUAACUGAUAUGUCAAUAACUUUAAGAAUUAAUAUAAUCAAAUAAUCAAUACUCAUCCAAAUAGGGCUAACACCCUUAAAUAUGUAUGUUUUACGGGCCUACAUAUAUGUUAUCUACCGUUACGCCCUUCAUUAGCCCAGUCAGAGCAGAACAGUAGGUCAUUAAACCCCAUUUUAUUUCAGUUCCUUUAUGUAUGUUUUAGGGACCUAUGUUAUAUUGGUACACCCAUUAUAUAUGUUUUAGGGGCCAGGUCCUAUGCUAUCUACCUGUACACCCUUUAUUUAUGUUUUAGGGGCCUAUGUUAUCUACAUCCUGCAUGUGAUAUUUAUAUAAGGAUGUUUUAAGGGCCUACAUGGACAUUAUGCUAUUUACAUCAUUCCUAUAUGAAAUAUAUAAGGAUGGUUAAGGGGCCUACAUCAACAUCCUACAUGUAAUAUUUAUGUAAGUUAUCUAUCGUUAUACCCUUUAUGAAUGUUUUAGGGACCUACACAUAUGUUAUCAGAAAGUUUAUUCCAGUCUAUCACAGUUCUGAUGAAGAAUGAGUGGUUGUGAGUGACCGUUUUCGCGACGUUUACUGUGAAGCACUUCGCAUUGGAAGUAGCAGAGUUUUCAACAAUGUUUAUUGUAUUAAAGUUUGUGAAUGUUUUAGGUGUUAUCCGACGUGUUAAAUUUGUGUUUAUAAUAUCCUAAUAAACAACCCAUUUGAAUGUUUUAGGGACCUACACAUAUGUUAUCUACCAGCACACCCUUUAUGGAUGUUUUAGGAAUCUAUGUAAUUAUCUACCACGAUGUUUAGGGGCCUAUGUUAUCUAACCCAACACCCAUGAUGUAUUUUUUAGUAGCCUAUGACAUUAGUGUCUUGUAAAUGCUCCAAUUUCCUACACAAGAAUAAAUAUGAUAACCCUUAAUAUCAACUGCUCAGACAAUUUUAGCUGAUGUUUUGCUGCCUCAGCUGACAACCCAUUAUUACUUUUUAUGUUAUGUGACUGGCAGUGAAAUUGACCCACCUGUCAACUUACUUGUUAGUCAGUUUUACAUGCCAUUAAAGUAGGAUUUCAAAGAAUUUAAUACAUGCAAUCUAAUUUACAGUUUUUAUGUGGGGAAAAAAAACAACUUAAAAUUGGGAUAAUUGUUAAAUAAUUGUCAUAUUCUUUAAAAAAAAAAAAAAAAAUAUCUUGCCAAAUCAGAGAAAGAUAAAUUAGGUCAAAAAUUGACUGACUGGCAAAAAUUUUAAAUGAAAGCCUUGAUGUUACACAUGAUUAAACAAAAUUUUGAAGAGCCAGCUGGUUAGGUCUUAAUAUUAAGGCUACCUGCAGAAUUCAUCAAGGUCACAAGAUAUAAAAAGGGCUAGCGCUAACACUAACCCACAAUCCUCGGCAACAAUCUCAUGACUUCAACGAAAUCUGCAGGUGGCCUUAAUAUUUAGACCUGACCAGCGAAAGCCCUUUUGAGCGAACACAGAGCUCAAACUCACAUGAUCAAACAUUAUAAUAUGUUGCAUUUUUGUCCCAAAUGAUAUUCCUUGCUUUAAAAUGAUACUACAAUUGUUCACAAAAUUGUCUAAAACAUUUCUAUAAGAUUGUUGAAAAAAACUAAUGAGAUUGUUUGAUAGUUUGUGAUUUUAGUCUGUGGUACAUCUCACGUCUUCAUCUCGGGUAUCGUUUCUCUUUUUUCAAUAAUUAAGUGAUCAAGUAGCUCUUGUGAUAUGCACUCUUAGGGUCAUGUUCCUGAACACUGAUUACAGUCGCACUUUUGACAGUGUGCAAGGCUUUUGUCGAAAUGGAUAAAACGUCUUUAAGCUGGAAUUUUCAAUUCACAAUUGAAUUCUAAAGAUUGUGGAAGCAGAUGUUAUUCCACUACCCUACCGUGCUGGAGUUUGGGACUAGAAUCGUCGAACACGGCGGAAAACGCUCUGUUUUGUGGUGGAAUCUUGGAGAAUCGCUCGAGAAACGGCAGCUAGCCAAAUCACCUCGAAAUAAGGUGUUUCACAAUGUAUUACAGUGUUUCGCGUUGGAACACAGUGUUUCCCGUUGGAACACAGUGAAUUGCUUGAUAUCGUCCCGUUUUAAGCAUGUUGGAAGAAAAAUGUAAUCUAUUUAAGCUACCUACUACUGCCCCCCCCCACCCCAAUCUAUCAAACCACUCAUGCAAGUGAUCAAUGCAAUUCUACAUAUAGUAAUGUAACACUGUUGAAAAAGCAAAUAUGGCAAUAUCAUUUCCAAGAAAUUCACAAUUUUCAGGUAUAUAGGGUAUGUAUAUUUACAUGGCCGCCCUGUUUAAUCUGGGUAAUUUCCCCUUAAAUCAAUGUUCAGGAUUAUGGCCUUUGAUGUUGCUAAUAUUGUAAAUAUAUUGUUGUAAAUUUGUACAAAGAUUCAUAAAAAAAAAGGUUUGUUUGUUAUUUUAAAUUCGCAUAUUUAUAAGUGAUCACUUUAUUUUUCUUCUGAAUUAAAUUUGCUAAAACUUUUAUUUUGUUCCAGUCUCCACAGGCUAAUAUUUAUUGCUGUAAAUAGAGCAUCCUGCAGAUUAAAGUUGCAUUAUGUAAGAUUUAGAUAAAGUGCUGAUUGAAAAUAUAUUGUAAAAUUCAUUUAAAUUAUUUUAUUCUUGUCGAAGUUAUUAUGUAAUUGAAGUCUUGAUUAUCCAUUUUAAAUUAUUAAGUCGUGACAGUGUUCUAAUCCAUUAAAUAUUACAACUACUUGACGAUCGUUGAUACGGGCUUGUGUGAAUAUAUGCCUAAUUAAUCCUUUUUAUAAAGCAAAAAGUGGUGCAGGACGUAGCGCCGGACAAGGACAGUUGUCUAGUUGUUCAGAUAGGACGAAAAAUCAAGCUCCCGUGUAUACAUUGUGUGCAAGUAAAAGAUCCCUUGGCAGUUGGAAUUCGAUAUAAGAGUAGGCCAUAGUGCCGCUACCUGGGCAAAAUUCCCCUCAUAGCACACUGCAUGGCGUAUGCCUGUAUUCAUUAGCCCAGUUGAAGAAGAACAGUAGGAUAUUAUAUUAAACCCCAUUUCAUUUCAUUUUCAUUUUAUAAAGCAAAAAAGUGACCUACAAUAGACAGGCCUAGCGCUUACAUAAUGCAUCUUUAAAUCAUUAUUUAAUAAGCUAUUGUAAAUUUUUUGUUAAUUUUUAUUUGUUUUAAAUUGUUGACCCAGAUUCAUAAUGAUUUUAAGAAGGUGCAAAGGAUACUAUAUCCCCUUGUUUUGAGCAUGAAUUCUCAGUCAAUGAACAUUUGCUGUUCAUGAGGUUUUUUUUUACAUUUUUGCACCAAAAAACCCCCCAAUAAACAAUAGUUUUGAUCUGUAUUGUAUGCUGUUUCAAUUCAUGUGUAACAAACAUCCGUUUACAAGCAAUCAUUGAUAGGCUUAAAUUGAUUCCUUGGCAUUUAGUAAUUUAAACAGGCUUAUUCAAGAGCUACAUCUGCAUAUUGCAGGUCUUUCUUUAGGCCUUGGGGGGGGGCUGUAUCAUAAGGCAUGUUAUUGAGUCAGCUGGCGUGGUUUCGAUUCCCUGGUUAUACGUGACAAGGAGUAAGGUCACCUGUCCCCAUCCUUGUGGGUUUUCUCCGGGUCCUCUGAUUUCCUCCCACUGCCAAAGACCCCUAUGCGCAAGCGAUUUAUUGAAAUAAAAUUAAAUGAUGUGUUAGUCCUGAAAUGACCUAGUUUGUGUGGAAUGGAUGUUAAACCCCAUCUCUCUCUCUAUAUAUAUUUAGAAAUUCACAUUACCCAGUCAUAGAAUCCUAGUGGAAAGAUCACUAGGUAUUAAAACAGUAAUGGGUCUAGUCUGAGGAAUUGUUCUCAAAAUAACAUACCAAAGUUAUAGGAAAUAAUAAUGAAUAUACAUGGAGUUGAGUUAAGAGUGUGGGGCAGAUUAUCUUAAUUUUAUAUAUUGGUUUAUAAAAUGUAAAAGCCAAACAAAAAGUGUCAGUAGUCUAUGGUUGGGAGGUGCAUGUACACCAAUGUAAUGUCACAAAAAGGUAAAUUUACCAUCUGGUAGGACAUGCUCUUCCAGUCAUGGUUUUCUGGCCUGGAACAACUGACUCUGAGAUUGACCUUCUGUGGAAUUUACCCUCUGAGUAAUUCACUUGAAUUAUUUAGGUAAUUACAAGUUAAAUCAGCCUAAAUAUUACAAAUCAAAUCUAGCUCCGGUUUCACAAAAUGUUCUCAGGUUUAAGUCAAGAAUGUUUGCCUUAUGGUUAUGGUUAGCAUGCGCGGGCUGUAUCAUGAGGUCUGUCACUGAGUCAACUGGCUUAAUUUCGAAUCCCCGGUUGUAUGUGACAAGGAGUAGGGUCGCCUGUCCAACCUCGUGGGUUUUCUCUGGGUCCUCCGGUUUCCUCCAACUGCUAAAGACCCCUACUCUCAAGCGAAUUAUUGAAAUAAAAUUGAACCAUGUGUUAGUCCCAAAAUGACCUAGUUUGUGUCAAGUGGAUGUUAAACCUCAUUUCUCUCUCUCCCUCUCUCUUUUAGACAAGUCUUUUUCGCCAAACAAAUAAGAAAACAAUUUUACAAGCAGGUACUUUUGAUUUUUUCCAAAGAACAGAAAAUCAAUUAGCUGUGGCCUUAUGUAAAUCUAUGUUGAACAAUGCGAUUUUUUUUUAUCUUAAUAAUUCUAUUGUUAUCAAUGUUCUGUCAGACAAAUAAAGAUAUUGAUUCAUUUUGAACCUA